CUCUGCAGUACUCUACUAUGCUGCAAAUUUUGAAAAGGUAAAAUAAAUCUGCAACAUUUUGAAGAAAAAGAAUCUACUGCAGUCAGGAUCGUCAGUGAAAUCAUGCAGAAAAAGU